AAGUUCAUCUGAAACUCUCUCUCUAUAGGCCUCUGAGGAAGAUAACACAGGCCGCGAGCACCAGCGUUAGGCCAUUGUCGCGCCAUCCGCUGAGUCUCCGCGGCCCGUCAGCCUGUUAUCGCCGGGGCCCGUGAUUGAGGCAGCGGCAGGCGUGUGUGUGUGUGUGCGGGGCCAAGCCUACACAGGUCCUGCCGCGUGCCGUCCUGCCGCCAGCCGAGCAACACACACCCCAAGGACUGUCUGUGAGCCUCCUUGGCGGGGCGGAGGAGUGGAGAAGCUUUAUGUGUGUGGGUCUUCAAUACUAGUCACUGUCUAGAGGAAAUCACUAGCACUGCUACCCAUGUAAACCACGUGUUUAGCAUUCAUGUCACUGUGGGUGUAUUAUGUACAGUGUAAUUCUGAUGAUGAGAGUUUUUAUAUCUGCUGUACACUAGGAACUUGACAUUAGAAGCUGACUAAAGUUAAACACUUGCUUUGUUGAAUGUUUUGGGGUGAAAUCUGGGUGAACAUUUCUGCCUCUGGUCGUGAGGAAUAGCUUAGAGUCUUGACCCUAGAACUGCCAUGGAGGACUAAAUUAUCCUGCUCUCUGCCCGGCACAGCACACUCUGACGCCCACACCGGGGACACCACACGGGGGGACAGCCUCCAGACAUGAGUGAAGGUGCUCUGUUUGACGACUUCGUACAGACUCAGAGGAAACCACAUUUUUAAGCAAGUUCUCUAAGGCCGUGUUCUUAAAUGUAUCCGCAUCUCACUUGACCUGUUUGAAAGGCCUCUCGUGGAAAUUGCUCAUGGAAAUUGCUCGUGGAAAUUGCUCGUAAAAAUUGCUCAGUUCACCUGUUUGUAAAGCCUCUCAUGGAAAUUGCUCAUGGAAAUUGCUCAUGGGAAUUACUCAUGGAAAUUGCUGGGAUUUUCGUGCACUGUUUUGUGAUCCUAGUGAUAGUUUUCCUUGACUUCAGCGUCUUGAGCAGGAAAAUCACCCACGAAAACCCGGUUAAUCUUCUCCAUGGCCUUAGGAAACGGUCGCAAUGGGAGCCCGAUACGUUUAAAAAUGCUGACCCUCGUCUCUCACUCGACCUUUCACAUUCACCUCAUUAUAACGUGUAACCCUUGACCCUUCCCCCCUGUGACAUUCAUCCCUUUUAUAACGAUAGGUUUAAAGCGUAUGAACAGCACAAACAUGGAGGCCAACGGAUGCUUAUAUAUGUGUCUCGCCCAUCCAUGGCUGAUGAUGGCGAUGUUUCCUGCCAAGUAGGAAGUGCGGUAGUGGUGGCGGAGAGGACGGGAGCGCCCACACUUGCUCCCACACAGAGGCUGGAGGACAGGGACAGUGAUCACGGCUGAGCUUCUGUGCACAAACGAUAAUGACGAAACCAUUCCAGACGCCUAACUGUUUGUUGAUAUUUUGAGAACUGACGGAGAGCUGGAGGGCAGAAGCUUGUCAAAGAGAGCAGCACAGGUAUUUUUGGCAUGCCCGAGUUUCUGUGCACAAACGAUAAUGACGAAACCAUUCCAGACGCCUAACUGUUUGUGGAUAUUUUGAAAACUGACGGAGGGCUGGAGGGCAGAAUCUUUGUCACUCCUCAGCUCAGGGCACAGGGAACAGCACAGGUCUUUUUGGCACAACCCACGAUGACGUAAAACCAUUCCUAGCGAGUAACCUGUUUGUGGAUAUUUUGAAAACUGACGGAGGGCUGGAGGGCAGAAUCUUUGUCACUCCUCAGCUCAGGGCACAGGGAACAGCACAGGUCUUUUUGGCACAACCCACAAUGACGUAAAACCAUUCCUAGCGAGUAACCUGUUUGUGGAUAUUUUGAAAACUGACGGAGGGCUGGAGGGCAGAAUCUUGUCACUCCUCAGCUUGGAACAAAGGGAACAGCACAGGUCUUUUUGGCACAACGCACAAUGACGUAAAACCAGUCCAGACGCCUAACUGUUUGUUGUUAUUUUGAAAACUGACGGAGGGCUGGAGGGCAGAAUCUUGUCACUCCUCAGCUUGGAACAAAGGGAACAGCACAGCUUUUUUUGGCAUGGCUGAGUUUCUGUGCACGAACCAUAAUGACGUAAAACCAAUCCUGACAACUCACCCGUUUGUUGAUAUUUUGAUAUCUUCCUAUAGACCAGCCAGACAGCAUCACUAACCACGUCAGUUCUUCUUCUUUUAUAUAGUCCAUCUUCUCCCGUUCUUGGGGUUGGACUUGUGAUGAUCAACCUCCAUUUUGCUCAAUCCAGUGCUUAUCUUUCCUCAAUUCUCUUAAAAUUUACCCUAAUUACUCUUUACUACGCUUGUAAUAUUUAAAAACCAUCCGGGCAGCCUCACUAACCACAUCAAUUCUCCUUAACCCCUUGACUGCGGAUUUCCUACGAGAAGACACCACCAAGCUACAGGAAUGGAACAAAAAGUGGCUGAUACAGUUCAAUGAAGAAAAAUGUAAAGUCACACACCUUGGGAGGGAAAAUCCAGCACACCAAUACCACAUGGGAAACACUCCACUAUCCAACACAGAGGCAGAGAAAGACCUGGGAGUGUAUGUUAACCAGGCUACCAGUGAAGGCCAAAUCCGUGACAAUCGCAGCGGACGGGUUAAAAAAAUCCCCUAAUCACUGAUCUCUCCUGCACGUCAUUUCCUUAUCUUACCCCCGAGAGUCACGCCAGUUGCCCGGUCUACCCACUGUGAUUCAGAGCUACACUGUGAUGCCAAAUUGUCUUCCUUCAAAGUCUAAACACAUACCCUCACGGCUGAACUUACUCCUCUAACUCCUGGCAUCAACAACUCCGUGAUAAAAUAGUGUUGAGUGGUGGUUUCAACAUCGCCGACACAUAUGAUAACUUGUCCCUCUCUCUCUUCAAGUAUAUAAUGAUGUGUGUUCAAUGUACUUACUUCAGGCAUCAUCAUUUUGUAACCUUCAGUGUCUCUACCUUCUCAUACUGGUGAUUAUAUAGCAAGGAUUAGAAGACAUCACACUGACACAUAUAUGAAAACUAAAUUACAAGUCCAGUGCGUGAUCAGGCCAUGGUCUCACACACACACACACACACACACACACACACACACACACACACACACACACACACACAAAUGCAGAUACGGAGACGGGACCACACGAGCGUAAAGCCCAGGCCCCGUAAAACUACAACUAGGUAAACACACACACACACACACACACACACACACACACACACACACACACACACACACACACUUUCUAACUGAUCAAGAAAUGCCCCAAAAAGUAAACAAAUUAAUCGGGAGAAUUCAAAACAAGUAAGCAGUUCUAGGGUUGAGAGAGAGAGAGCAAGAGAGAGCGAGAGAGAUUGGGUACAUAAGAGUUAGUUUAUUUUUAUCCGAAACAUAUUUAUUUAUAAGGUGUUGGUCCAUGUGCCAAGUCCUCCUCCGCUGUCAUAGGUUCGUAGUGAAGGUUAUACAUAUAUGCACACUAUUACGUUCAGUAUUUAAGACUCUCCUGUGUAUCUAGAGACCGUGUUGGAUAUGUUUUGUAAGCUGUUGGUUUUCCCUCCUGUAUAGAAAGUCCCCCGAGCUCUGGUACUUAAGUCGGUACUAACGCGCUAGACUUGGUACCAGUGUGUUCUUAUGUUGUAAAUUGCGCGUGUAAUGAGAGCGACUACUACUACGCUAAUUUUUAAGUCCCAUUACAGGUUUAUGGAGAUGCCAAGACUAGUUUUUUAUAUGAUAUUUUAUGCCGCGGCGAGUCCCGGCGACGACUUCCAGCGUUCUUAUCGGAGAAAGUGGUUAUAUGUAAAUUUUUAAAAGGCGAUAUUUUUUAAGCGACGACAUUUUUCCAUCAAAGGUUUUAUCACAUUAUAAUUCUGUUUAGAGCGUCGAUGAUAUAUUCCGUUAACGUGUAGAGUACCCUGACGUCUAUUGUUUGCCGAGGAGCGGAGUUGUACGCAGUCCCUAUUACCAUUACUGUUUGUCCCUGCAAGCCAAUGUUGAUACUUCGAUGUGUGUUGUUGAGAGUUGUACCUGUAUAGUGACCCCAUUAUUCAGUUUGUAAAAUGAAGCCAAUAAGUUAGGGUGUGGCGCCCAGUACGUACGCGCCGCCAAUGUUGUUAGUUCACGCCGCGGAGGAGAAUGAUGUCCACUCUGAAAAGCAUGUGGUGAAAGUAAGAAAAUGAACUGCGGCAGACCCCUGGAGUUCAAACUUUGAGAACAACUUUUUUUCUUCUUUUCCUUCUUGCAGUUUAGAAUUUGUACUUUUUUCCUGAUUCCAAAUUCCCGCUGUUGGAAAUUCAGACUUUUUUGGGGUAAUUCAGACCACUGGAAUUCAAACUUAGAGAACAACUUUUUUUUUUUUUUUUCCUUUCCUGCACUUUGGAAUUUGUACUUUUUUCCUGAUUCCAAAUUCCCGCCGUUGGAAAUUCAGACUUUUUUGGGGUAAUUCAGACCCCUGGAAUUCAAACUUAGAGAACAACUUUUAUCUUUUUUUCCUUUCCUGCACUUUGGAAUUCAUACUUUUUUCCUGAUUCCAAAUUCCCGACAUUGGAAAUUCAGACUUUUUGGGGAUAAUUCAGACCACUGGAAUUCAAACUUGGAGAACAACUUUUUAUCUUCUUUUCCUUUCCUGCACUUUAGAAUUCAUACUUUUUUCCUGCUGCCAAAUUCCCACCGUUAGAAAUUCAGACUUUUUUGGGAUAUUCGGACCACUGGAAUUCAAACUUAGAGAACAACUUUUUAUCAUCUUUUCCUUUCCUGCACUUUAGAAUCUGUACUUUUUUUUCUGCUUCCAAAUUCUUGCCUAUAGAAAUUCAGACUUUUGGGGAUAAUUCAAACUUAGAGAACAACUUUUUAUCUUUUCCUUUCCUUCACUUCAGAACUUGUACUUUGCUUUCAAAUUCCAAGUUCCUGCCUUUAGAAAUUCAGACUUUUGGGGAUAAUUCAAACUUAGAGAACAACUUUUUAUCAUCUUUUCCUUUCCUUCACUUCAGAACUUGUACUUUGCUUCCAAAUUCCAAGUUCCUGGCUUUAGAAAUUCAGACCUUUUUUGGCUAUUCGGACGUCUGGAAUUCAAACCUAGAGUACAACUUUUUAUCUUCUUUUCCUUUCCUGCAGUUUAGAAUUUGUACUUUUUUCUGCUUCCAAAUUCCCGCCGUUAGAAAUUCAGACGUUUUUGGAUAAUUCGAAUCACUGGAAUUCAAACAUCAAAAACUUUUUCUUAUCUUCUUUUACUUUCCUGCAGUUUAGAAUCUGUACAUUUUUUUCUGCUUCCAAAUUCCUGCCUUUAGAAAUUCAGACUUUUUUUGGCUAUUCAGACCACAAGAACUAAAAAAUAAAAAGUUUGCCCGGUCUUGACGUCAACACUCAUCCACUUUUCACACUUUUACCACAUGCUUCAGAGUGACAUUUUCCUCUUGCGGCGUUGUGUGCUGACAGGGCCGGCGUCACACUCGGCUGGGCGGACACACACACCCUUUACCAGUAAUAAUAUAGAUGCAAGAAGUGUUUAUGGUAACUGUACUAAGCAUUUAAUUGACGCGCUUGGUUUGGAAAGUCGAUAACCGCCAUCACUAGAAAACCGAGAUGGCGUUCAGAGUUCAAUGUUCGAAAUGCCGCUGGAUCUUUGAAACCAUCUACGCAAUCUUUAUGAAAAUACACGGAAACGUAACCGAUUCUCCGGACCAUCAACUAAUACCACCAUUCAUUCAUUCAUUCAUUCACUCAUCGCAAUUUUGAAUGAGGAAAUGACGAGUGUGGCCGUGUUGGCGUUCACCGACUUUCCGAACCGAGCGCCUCAAAUGUAAAAAAAAAAAAAGUGUUACGAGGCUGCAUUCGAUAAUUUCCUCCUUGCUGCACGUUCAACCGUUUCCUGUAGUGCAAAAACGCGUCUUUGUUUGUGAACCUGCGGGUUAUGUGUCGGCCGGAGCUUUCACCCUCAGCACCUUAUUUGAGCACUUUUUUUAUUUAUUUAUUUAUUUUUUAUUUACAUCAAAGAACGCGGCUCAUUGGAAAGCUGCGUGGGGGUUUGUAAGCUUAUAUCUGAACCUCUUUCUUAAGCUUCGUCACCUCUUGUGCUGUGCCGACCCUCCCUCUAUCAUGCUGUUGCUCUUCACCACUUGCAAUACUCCACAACAAGGCACGAAACACAAAAAAGAUUCAGUAUAUACUUCUUGAUUCAUCCAUUUAUUCUAUGCUUUGGAAUGUGUGUGUAUGUGUGUGUAUGUGUGUGUGUGUGUGUGUGUGUGUGUGUGUGUGUGUGUGUGUGUGUGUGUGUGUGAAUAUGCUUGGUUGUAUAUUUCUCUCUCUCUCUCUCUCUCUCUCUCUCUCUCACAAAGAAAUAUGGAAUACAUACGACACAUGUAUAUUUUUCUAAUUUUUCAUUUUCACUUCCGGCAACUUCCGGCACCAACAAGGACGGACACUCGUGCAUAACCUCGACUGGCGCACACACAAAGAACAAGAAAAAAAACAAUAAUAAUAAUAAUCUUCGGUCAUUAAGUUACAAGGAAUUGCUAUGCUCACGUUUUUACUCUAUUUUCGAAUGCAGCCAAAAUAAUUCUAUGCAGAUGUAGUCUCAACAUUGUUUCUACUCGCCUUCCUAUUCCUGACAAGAAGCUCUGCCUUAGUGAGGAGGGAGCCGAGGGGAGGAGUGUCAGAGGGAGCAGCAACACCAGCACAAAGCCUCACCGUCAUCUCCAGCUAAAAGAAAAGGAAUGUUGUGUUGACGUUCACAAAAGGCAUUUUCUUCUUUCUAGUGUACUACUUUGUUGGUGAUUCAGUACCAGUGCAAUGAGUGUGUCGUUGACGUGAAUAUUGUGUGUGGGUAAUUUCUGUUGUUAUGGAGGUGAAUAUUAUUGACCUGUUUGCAUACUGUACAGUUAGUUGUAAAUGUUUUGUUUAGUUUUUAUUUCCCAGAAUCAUUCCUGUUUCAUCACCUGUUCAUUUCUCAUCACCAAGCUCACCUGUCCUGCCCCGCGCACCGGCCGCUGCCGCCGCCGCCGCCGCCGCCGCCAGGCACACACCGCCGCGCCCUCACUUGAUAAAGAAAACAGGAAAACAAAACUUUGUUUAUAUAUUUAUUUAUACAUUUUAUUUUGCCUUCAUUAUACUGUGUAGCAUGUUGGCUGUUUUUAUACAUCUAUUCCAACACAAUGAUUUUAUUUUGCCCUCAUUAUACCCCUUCACUGUGAGGCAGCGGCUCAGCCACAGCAUGGCCGGGGGCCCGCGCUCAGCCCAGAUAAGUGUUGGCCCCUCGUGGAGGCCCGCAGGAAAUUCUGAGCAAUUUGGCGAAUUGGAUGCCAAGGUUUGGGCUGGGCCUCCCUGCAUGUUGUGCUGUACUGCUGUGCGGCACACUGGCUGUGUUCCCAUGUUAUUAGUGCUGCAAGAGGCAGCAGUUUGUGUGUGUGUGUGUGUGUGUGUGUGUGUGUGUGUGUGUGUGUGUGUGUCCUGGCAGUGGUGGAGGCCAGUGGGUGCGGUGCCUCAGCCGUGUGUUGGGCCGUGCAGGGUGGAUGGCUUACGUCCCUGUGUUACUCUAAGGCGGUGAGCUGCUACUCUUGUGAGACACUCCUGUGGGUUGCCCUGCCAAGCAGAGAACCCGAGGAGUCCAUUUGGCAGUUUCUGCGCCGUUCAGUUUGUCUGUACAGUCUUGUUACUUUCCAUUGCCAUGCGUUGUCAUUACUAUUAGUUCACACUUAAGAAAUGCAGCACAGAGAUUCUCUCAGUUAAGGAAAUUGUGUCCGAGUGCCAAGCAUAUUUUGUUGCUGUUGCAAUACAUAAAAAUGAAACACUUUCGUAAAAGUUUUUGUAGCAACAACUUUAAUGUUUGACCGAGUACCAUUAGCAAUAGGCUCAACAAGCUCCACAGAGUCAUGUUACUGAAGUGGUGCACAGUGUUCAGCACGCGCCAGCUGGAGGCCGCUGUGUCACGCCUGGCUGGGAUGUCUGUGUCGAGAGCUGUAGCUUCUGUACCUCCUGAGAACACCAAAAACUGUUGUUACUUGUUUCACAGUUCAUUUCACAGUUCACGGUCACAAACUGUAACGUGUUAUUGGCUUUGUACCUAUAAGUUUGAGGUAGUUAUUAAUAUUUAUUACUUUCUAGUUUUUGUAAAUAUGAACAUAAUUAUAUUUCUACACGAAUGAGUCAUUCAUCUGCUGCAUUGUCACCUACUGUUUCAUUGUUCCAUUUGCAAUACAGAGAUAGCAAGUGUUAUUCAGUAGUAUAUUCUUUACUCUUCCCUAGGUCAAAGAGAGUUGGCAGAGGCUCACAGUCUGUGUUUUAGCAGUUGUAAGGUGUAGCAGAGUACCAGGAUCAGGGAACGCUUGUGUGUGGCCAUGUUAGCGGUGAGGGGACCCUCGUGUCAGGGCGGGCGGGAGAUGCCCGGCCGGUCCCGUCACCCAGUUAGUUUCCCGUCGGUGUGACUUCGCCGAUCUCUCGCCACAAGGAGACAUCACUUCCCUUUUUGGAUGGCGCGGCCCAAACCUCAUUCCCAAAGUGACCGUGUGGGCGGGGCGCAACGUAACGUCCCUCCACAGAUGCGUCACGUCCCUGGGCGGCCUUGGCUUCAACGGUGUCAGUCUUGGCAAGUCUCACGGCGGAGGACUCAUGAACCCGCCUCAAAGACAUGACUCCCACAAUGCCUGAAGGAAAGUUUCUCAUUGGCUUUCAAAUCUCAAAUCCUUGGCCUUGAUGCCGGUCAUUGCAUCCAGAACAACUCCAGAGCCAUGAACCCAGCGCUGAGGUCAAGUGAAGGAAUAGUCUCAUUUGGCUUGUAAGUCAGUCGGCCUCGGUGCAGGUCAUUGUGUACCAAAACAACUCCUGGUCAUUUGAAGGCAUCGUGAGAGUCAGGCGUCAGCACCGUCAGCCAGGCCCCGCGCAGGACUCCUCAGCUGGUGUCGCAGGAUGCAGGAGGAGGCUGGGGGGUCUGGGGGACGCUCGGGACAUCCUCAACGUGACUUUUUUAGGACUCCACUCAUUUUUUGAUAGCCGAGACCUUUGCAGUCAUCCAUUAUUUGAAGUCAGCUGUGUAUAAUAGAUGUCAUACAUCUCUCUGCCCAUACAUAUGAUGAGAACUGUUCUAUGAUGGAGUAUUUAGUGUUAAUAUAUUGCAGAUUCUAUCCCACAUAUCUCAAGACUUCAUUCAUUAUAUGUGUACGAUAUAAUAGGUCAGGUCAGAACCUUGAAUAAAUAAUUUCCAGACUACAUGGUUGCCUGAAAUCAUCUUGUCCAAGUUCUAUUUAUGUGUUUCACCGUUAUACCAAACAAGGGAGAUAGCAAACUGUUGAACCAAGCGAAACGAACACGGAGGCGGCGGCAGCAGCACCCCACACUGGCUGCUGCGUCUCAUUCCGAGUGUACAUAAAAGGCGGGCAUAUUGGCGUCCGGGAUUCCUUUUGCUUCUCUCUGUCUACUGACUCCAGAUGAUUGUUAAUAAGGUGUGAAAAGUGUAGACAGCAAUAAAGGAUGAGUUUCUGUAGACCUUUGGCUCGUCAGCACACGGCAGCCGCUUCAGUAUGAGAGAUUAUCGUUGAAUUGGUCAUCACUGAGUUGUGUUGUUUUGCCUCUCUUUGUUCCUUGUUGUCAAUGUGUAGACCAGCGACAAGCCGAUACUUCCCUUGCUAGACGUUAAGUUAAUAUGGACCUGCGAGUCGUCGAAACACACACACACACACACACACACACACACACACACACACGGAGGGCUUGUAACAGCGAUGUGAUUGGUUACAUGUUGCUUUACAGGUUCCAAACACACACACACACACACACACACACACACACACACACACACACACAGGACUUGUAAGGGCUUCAUGACUGGUUACAUGUUGCAUUACAAGUUCAAACACACACACACACACACACACACACACACACACACACACACACACACACACACACACACACACACACACACACACACCUCAGAACUUAGAAUGUCCCCAACGUUCGAAGCCAUGUCGAUGUAUUUACCUCCUGCAGCCACGUGCAUAAGACAUUCUUGUUCCUGAGAGAGGUGGGCGGGGCGUGCCUGGGGGCGCCGCGGGCCUGUCCGUGCCUGCGCCGCCCCGGAGAGUGUCACGGACCGGGUUGUCAUGAUCGAUCUUCAGCCAACUGGUUCCCACGUACGUAAUGUCGAUAAGAGUUAAGGUUUAGGGCAUUACCGUCAGUCGAGGAGUUGAUGUUGAAGAAGUGUAUAAUUUCCCCUCAAAUUGGAGUACUACAUCGCCUAUUCAUCUUUCAAGUGCAUUAUCUCUCCCCAUAUUUUUGCAACACCUUACUAAUGAAAGCCACACAUUGUACUACCGAUAUAUGUUGUCCUUUGUACAAAUGCACACUCUUUUGUACAGCAUCUGCAUGAAGGAGACGUUUCAUGAAGGUGCUUCCUUUAUACAUACAUACUAUACAGAUAUUUACCCGAAUUUAUAAAGAAUAUACUACUGUCACAAGGCAAGGCGGAGGGAGUGGCUGUGAAGGCGCUUGGUCAACAUGACUGUCUUGAGGCACAACCACCAUUAAAGUGCUGCAUUCA